GGCAGGUAGCAGUUCCAGCAUGGAAUUCCUCACAUUUCAGAAGGCCUUUACUUUCCUGCUAGGCACCAGUAUGAUAAUGAAGUCAUUAUACGUGACUGCCAUACUUCCAUCCCAAAGUGGAUGAGGGAAGACUGUGCAAGACACUACAGAAACUUAUGAAAACCUGCUGUCCAACACUUCUUUGACAAUUGGCAUAUUGGAAGAGAAAUCCAGAAAGUACUCAUAAAGCAAAGAGAAAACAUGAGAGAUCAUUGGCAAGCAGAGAAAAGCCUGAGUGAGACACUUAUUGGGCCAUCACAUCAUCGAAAGAACACCUAGAGGAGGUGAAAUCAGUCACAUUUCAUGCCUUCCUCUCCCAUGUGCUUAACAAGCACAAAGAUCUACCAAACAGAUUAUUCAAUGCCUGUGCACAUGGAAACAUCACAACUCUACGUGUAUGGAUAACCAAAGAUGUUUCUGUGAGGAAUGGAUGGCAUCAGUAGUUUUAAAAUCCAAGCCUGAUGUUUGGGCAUUUUUGGAGGAGCUGUGAGAUUUGUUUUGUUUAAGUGUUGAGUACAAAAAGGUACAAUAUGGAAGGCUUGUUAAUCAUUAUCCUAACAUGAGAGGGCCUUUAACUGG